rnacentral:tRNA from 1 species
GGGGGCGGAUGGGUAACUGGUGUGCCUCCCGGACUUCAAAUCCGGUGGCGGGCACUAAUACUGUCCGCGGUGAGUUCGAUUCUCACGCGCUCCCGCCA